rnacentral:ncRNA from 1 species
UUUUAUUACCGGAGAGAAAUCUUGUCAGGUCGAUAGCUAGAUGACGAUUAGCAAUAAUUAAGCGUGCUAUAUGUACGCCGCUCUAGUUGGGAGAAAACCACAAUGGUGGUUUUUUUUCUUAUGGAA